CAGAAAGCUAACAGGAGUCCGAGUUUCCUGUGGAGAACAUCUUUUUGGCCGAAUGGAAAAAUCAUGCAGUCCUGUUCCCUUGAAUCCAGGGUAAAGUGAACUAUGCAGACUAUAAGCUAAAUGUGCAACAGUCUACUAAAGCUCUUUGUACACCAGACGGUGAACUGCACAAGCCAUGGGAUGAAAUAGAGAGCGGCAUGUUUCUGUUUGU